GACAACUCUAGAGAUAGAGCCUUCCCCUUCGGGGGACAAAGUGACAGGUGGUGCAUGGUUGUCGUCAGCUCGUGUCGUGAGAUGUUGGGUUAAGUCCCGCAACGAGCGCAACCCUUAAGCUUAGUUGCCAUCAUUAAGUUGGGCACUCUAAGUUGACUGCCGGUGACAAACCGGAGGAAGGUGGGGAUGACGUCAAAUCAUCAUGCCCCUUAUGAUUUGGGCUACACACGUGCUACAAUGGACAAUACAAAGGGCAGCGAAACCGCGAGGUCAAGCAAAUCCCAUAAAGUUGUUCUCAGUUCGGAUUGUAGUCUGCAACUCGACUACAUGAAGCUGGAAUCGCUAGUAAUCGUAGAUCAGCAUGCUACGGUGAAUACG
rnacentral:rRNA from 1 species